AUUGAACGCUGGCGGCAGGCCUAACACAUGCAAGUCGAGCGGAUGAGGAGAGCUUGCUCUCUGAUUUAGCGGCGGACGGGUGAGUAAUGCCUAGGAAUCUGCCUGGUAGUGGGGGAUAACGUUCCGAAAGGAACGCUAAUACCGCAUACGUCCUACGGGAGAAAGCAGGGGACCUUCGGGCCUUGCGCUAUCAGAUGAGCCUAGGUCGGAUUAGCUAGUUGGUGAGGUAAUGGCUCACCAAGGCUACGAUCCGUAACUGGUCUGAGAGGAUGAUCAGUCACACUGGAACUGAGACACGGUCCAGACUCCUACGGGAGUCAGCAGUGGGGAAUAUUGGACAAUGGGCGAAAGCCUGAUCCAGCCAUGCCGCGUGUGUGAAGAAGGUCUUCGGAUUGUAAAGCACUUUAAGUUGGGAGGAAGGGCAGUAAGUUAAUACCCUGCUGUUUUGACGUUACCGACAGAAUAAGCACCGGCUAACUUCGUGCCAGCAGCCGCAGUAAUAC
rnacentral:rRNA from 1 species